GAGGGAUGGCCGAGUGGACGAUGGCGCUGGUCUUGAAAACCAGUAAACCGCAAGGUUUCGUGGGUUCGAAUCCCACUCCCUCC
rnacentral:tRNA from 1 species